rnacentral:lncRNA from 1 species
UUAAAAACAUAAUUAAAUAACAUUAACUGAAAAUAUAAAUUUGUUCAUGGGGGACAAAACACCCCAAUAGUACAACACCAAAAUCAAGAUACAAAAUCCGAAAAUACAAAUAGAAAUAACAUAAAAACUGAAAAAACACAAAAACUUAACCCACUAAGGGCUCAGGACUCCUCCUCGCUACCGGCCUCAGAACCGGUAGCCUCAUCAUCAACAUCAUCAUCAUCAGCAUCAUCAGCAUCAGCGCCCACCCCCUCACCAUA